AAUUAUCGAGCACGGAUCCGUGUUCAAGGAAUUGGUUGAAAUUACCAAACUGUCUCGCAACCGUCAUAGUCGGAAAACUAGCGGAUUCGAAGUAUCCCGA
rnacentral:ncRNA from 2 species